AUGAAGCUAUGGAUAGCUUUUUCCCCCAGUAUGUUACGAUUAAAAAGAAAAUGGAAAUUAAAAGAAAACUUGAGCGAUAAUAGUUUCUGCAGGAUUCUGACUCCCAGCCAGAAUAACUCAAAAGGUCUCUGCUUUCAGCAACAGAGUCUACUGCCAACUCCUGUAUCCACAUCUGCAAAAUCAAGGUAGGCUUUUCCACUGCCAAACGCACUGGACAAAAAACAGAAUGAUUCUUUGAUUUCUUAGAAGCAAUGAUAUGUAUUGAGAUCCUGUGUUAUGCAAAAGAGUUUAUAGUGUGUUUUAUAUGAGAACUAUGAAUUGGUGCUUAAUCUCGUGGGAUUAGAGAGCUCCAAAUCUAAUCUAAGAAACUAGGAAUAUGUGAAAUGAGAUUGCCCUGAGAUUUAAAUGGUAAAAUCCACCCUUCUUAAUGGACUGAUGAAGAGGGGCACUUAACUUUGUGAAAUGGAGCUGAGGCAUCACUGCAUGGAAUUGUUCUCUUAGGAGUAAAUAAGCAAACACACAAAAAGAAAGGCGUGCCUUGGACCCUGCAUGCAGCGUGGGUUUAAUAAAUAUGAGCUGCUGCUGACUUCA
rnacentral:lncRNA from 1 species